CUCGUAGGCGGCCAACUAAGUCAGACGUGAAAUCCCUCGGCUUAACCGGGGAACUGCGUCUGAUACUGGAUGGCUUGAAUCCGGGAGAGGGAUGCGGAAUUCCAGGUGUAGCGGUGAAAUGCGUAGAUAUCUGGAGGAACACCGGUGGCGAAGGCGGCAUCCUGGAUCGGUAUUGACGCUGAGUGAGCGAAAGCCAGGGGAGCAAACG
rnacentral:rRNA from 1 species